UAUCGGGUUUAUUUCAGACAUACAACCAG
rnacentral:sRNA from 1 species